rnacentral:rRNA from 1 species
GACGAACGCUGGCGGCGUGCUUAACACAUGCAAGUCGAACGGAAAGGCCCUGCUUUUGUGGGGUGCUCGAGUGGCGAACGGGUGAGUAACACGUGAGUAACCUGCCCUUGACUUUGGGAUAACUUCAGGAAACUGGGGUUAAUACCGGACAGGAUCUCCUGCUGCAUGGUGGGGGUUGGAAAGUUUCGGCGGUUGGGGUUGGACGCGCGGCUUACCAGCUUGCUGGUGGGGUAGUGGCUUACCAAGGCUUUGACGGGUAGCCGGCCUGAGAGGGUGACCGGCCACAUUGGGACUGAGAGACGGCCCAGACUCCUACGGGAGGCAGCAGUGGGGAGUAUUGCACAAUGGGCGGGAGCCUGAUGCAGCAACGCCGCGUGCGGGAUGACGGCCUUCGGGGUGUAAACCGCUUUCGCCUGUGACGAAGCGUGAGUGACGGUAAUGGGUAAAGAAGCACCGGCUAACUACGUG